AGCCCUGUAGCACAAUUGGUUAGCGCGUCUGCAUUUGGAGCAGAAGGUUAUUGGUUCGAGUCCAGUCAGGGUUA
rnacentral:tRNA from 2 species